CAAUCGCGGCACUGUCAUUGGGGAGUAGCCAUCCUUUGUCCCCAAAGGAGUUAGCGUCAACAGACUUGGUGGUUCGGUACCGCGUAGCGGUCGCCAGAACUCCAUGGCGCUAACGGUCUCCAUGUCGCGGCCCGCCCGCGCAUGGAUCAGCCAGGCGAGACC
rnacentral:sRNA from 2 species